rnacentral:rRNA from 1 species
ACGGGAGGCAGCAGUGGGGAAUAUUGCACAAUGGGCGGAAGCCUGAUGCAGCGAUGCCGCGUGAGGGAAGAAGGCUUUCGGGUUGUAAACUUCUUUUAAGUGGGACGAUAAUGACGGUACCACUUGAAUAAGCUCCGGCUAACUACGUGCCAGCAGCCGCGGUAAUACGUAGGGAGCAAGCGUUAUCCGGAUUUACUGGGUGUAAAGGGCGUGUAGGCGGGACAGCAAGUCAGAUGUGAAAGCACGAGGCUCAACUUCGUGUCUGCAUUUGAAACUGCUGUUCUUGAGUGCUGGAGAGGCUAACGGAACUCCUAGUGUAGCGGUGAAAUGCGUAGAUAUUAGGAAGAACACCAGUGGCGAAGGCGGUUAGCUGGACAGUAACUGACGCUGAGGCGCGAAAGCGUGGGUAGCAAACAGGAUUAGAUACCCUGGUA